GAUGAACGCUGGCGGCGUGCUUAACACAUGCAAGUCGAACGGAAAGGCCCUGCUUUUGUUGGGUGCUCGAGUGGCGAACGGGUGAGUAACACGUGAGUAACCUCCCCUUGACUUUGUGAUAACUUCAGGAAACUGGGGCUCAUACCCGAUAGGAGCUCCUGCUGCAUGUUGGGGGUUGGAAAGUUUCGGCGGUUGGGGAUGGACUCGCGGCUUAUCAGCUUGUUGGGGGGGUAGUGGCUUACCAAGGCUUUGACGGGUAGCCGGCCUGAGAGGGUGACCGGCCACAUUGGUACUGAGAUACGGCCCAGACUCCAACGGGAGGCAGCAGUGGAGAAUAUUGCACAAUGGGCGGAAGCCUGAUGCAGCAACGCCGCGUGCGGGAAGACGGCCUUCGGGUUGUAAACCACUUUCUCCUGAGACGAAGAGGGAGUGACGGUAAUGGGUAAAGAAGCACCGGCUAACUACGUG
rnacentral:rRNA from 1 species